GCGGUUGUAGUUUAAUGGUAAAACCUCUGCCUUCCAAGCAGGUGUUCGGAGUUCGAUUCUCCGCAGCCGCACCA
rnacentral:tRNA from 1 species